UGCAAUAAUUAUCCAUAUAUUUUCUAAACCAACAAAAGAAAGAACCUGGUUUCCUUCCCAAAAUUUGGAUACAUUGGCCAUAUCCAGAAGACCUGGACGAGCAGCCGACAGAUGGAAUUUUCCUCCUGAUGUCACAGGCCGGGGCAGAAAACUGUCAAUAUUCAUUGCAGCAAAAUAGGAGGGUUUGGGCAGUCUAUCUUGGCUUCGUUCCCUGUGUUCUCUUGAGGUCCACCCUUGCCCUUUUUUACGCUGUGCUGUUGCUGAGAGCGCUGCUAUAAAACAAGAUGCAGGGUAUGAAAUCUGUCCUCUGCAAGCUUGUUAGGAAAAUGCUUUAAGCUAGAAAAGAGUCAGAAAAAGAUAAGACACUUGGCAGAAUGGUUAUCAAAAUUAAAUGUGAAAAAAUUGAAAAGGAGAAUGAACAUUGUGAGCCAGGACUGAAGCCAAACCUUAGUCACAAGCCACUUACAUGGAAAGCAGGUUAUUCCGUGUGUACCUGUUGUGGAGUUUCUUAUGACUCAUGCAAAGGGCAGCUAUCAAACACUGUCAGAGGGGAGAUUUGUGAACUAGAGAGACAACAGGCUGCAUGACCAAUGUCAAAACCACACUUCUGGUCUGUUUGUUUGGAAAAUGUCAGAGUGGAUGCACAAGCAGAUAGCCCUGUGUAAUAAAAGAGGAUGCUUGCUGCCAGUCAUCGCUAUCUCACUUGUGAAAUCCAAGGAUUUACUUUGCUUUUAUACUGCUUAUAUUUCUCUUGUUUUUUCAGCACCUUGAUAACCUGUGGAAGAAUUUAGUGCUGAAUAAAGCGACCUUAUUCUCUCAGACAGAGAAUUGCCGUUGUUGGGAGUGGCUGAAUUGUUUGUGGCUUCAAUUUCUUUAAAGAAAAAAAAAAGAUUAGCCUUGAGUCUAUUUAUUACCAAUGCAAUAGGUCGUUAUUGUACUCUUGUUUUUCUCUUUUGCUCUCAGUCUGUGGCUAAUACUCUUUGAAUUAAUUUCUUUUCAAAUAUGGGUUGAAUAAAUGUACAGCAUAUGCAUGUGGGCAUAAAAGCUGCAACAGCUGAAGACAUGUUUAUUGAUUUAUUGACCUGUUUUCCUCAGAGACUUCAAUGCCAUGCAGGGAUUCUUUUCAAGAAGAUUUUUGUGUUAAAAGAAAUAACAGAUGGGAAUCGAAUAAAUUGCCUCGAUGGGGGUUUGUGUUACAUAGAUGUUUGUAUCUGGUAAACAAGCAGCUGGUUUGAGCCAAACUUUUAGAUGCCCGAAGGCAAAUAAGCUCAGUGGAGCUAUGACACUUCUAUCCUUCAAUGUAAUUACUCCAUAGCCAUUCAGUUUAUAAUGUUGCUUUAACAGGAUAAUGAAGUGCAAGAUUAUAUUUCUAUUAUUGUUUAUUGUAUUCCAUUGUCUUUUUAUAUGCUCACACAACUACAAGAGAUAAAGAUCUUAUGUUAAAAAACUUUGAUCCCAGCAAUGCUCCUCAGCAUUUAAGACUGCUUGCAAGCAGCAAGGACAGCAGAGUCUGUCCUGCCUGAUUUCUUUACAACUAUGUAAUACAAGAAGCUAUUGAUUUUGUUUUAUUACUCUGCUUUAGUAUUGCCCAGACCUCAAGGAUCUCUGCCAGGCAUCUGUUUCUUGCAUUUCAGCUUCGUGCCGCCUCUUCGAAGUUCACCUCUUACUCCCUGAAGCCGACGUGAUCUGGAUCAGCAACACAAACUUCUACAGUUGUGACUCUGUGUUACCCUUGUUUAUCUUCUGUCAGUCUCCUUAAGUCUGUCUGAUAUGUAGUUUCCCUCCCAGGCUUUACUGCCUGAACUUCAGAUUUCUGUGGACUAUAAAGAGAGACUGAAGCAACCAAUUCUGAUUAGACAUCAAACUUUUUAGAUACUGUGCUGGUACCUGUGGUGUAGGUGUCUGUGUGUAGGUGCAGGUGGGCUCCCAGUAUAUUACAGAGAAUGCCUCUGUAAGGCCAUUCUCUUGACUUACCUUAGAGGCCUGUCUGAUGAGCUUAACUACCCUCGACUUGUGCCUGGCUAUCAGUACAUACUGUAGAGGGAGCUGGGAAUGGUUAUGACUUAAAUGUUUAACUUACUUACAGAUGCAUAAGCUUUAGCAGAUGAGUAUUACUCAAAACCACCUUUUAAGUAUGGAUACCGUACCGUGUCCUCAGGUGCUACUUUACUUUUACUUUGCUUUUCCUACUGCAGUCCCCAGGUGGGGUUUUAAACCCAGUCAGCAGAGUACUUGCUCUCCAGCAGGAAAUAAACCCACAGGAGAACAGGACAUGGGCUCAGUGCAUGGGAUUUCAGCGAGUCUACUGAUUUUUGCAGAACAAGGGAUCACGCAUCUUGUACCGGGCACGUGGCAGAAGAUUCAUCUGUUCCUGCUAUAUAGCUCCAUUGUGCAUGUGUACACAAUGGGGAAACUCUUUCUUCAAAGCUUCUGAAGUGCAUGAAUGAAGACAAUUUCCUCUCCUUGACACAGAAGAGGAUUCUUUCACUGACUGGCUUUAUGCAACUGCGUAGACGCAGCGCAGCAGUGGUUGAACUCAGCAUCUUUCUUAACAUACCUGUCUCCUCACUUCUUUUAUGUGUGACUAAUGGUGUCACUGUGCUUCCUGCCACCCACACUUUCCAAACUGGGUGUCAUUUGUUCAUUCCUGUUUUGGAGCACUUCCUUUUCACUAUCACCUUCAUUAAUAUAAACUUUCUCAUUCUCAGCUUCACAGCCCUGCAGGAUGCCCCAUUAGCUUCCUUUUGCCAUCUUCCUGCACUCACUAACUAUCCCAAUUCUUCUGUGCCUUUUCAGUCUCACAAUUCAAGUCACAGCAUUAAAUCUUAAAGGAGAAACUGCACCAGCACAGCAGGGCCUUCCUCUGAUGACCCGCUCCACUCAUGCUUCUGGACCACAGCCUCAAGAGAAGCAGCUGGAUUUAGACAUAGCUUUUUGCUCACAGUAUCAUCAGCCAGACACAUGUGCAGGCAAAAAAACAGAUGUUUUAUGUGACUACAAAUAUUUUAGGAGCAACAAAUCACCCUUGGAUUAUUUUGAUGUUAUGCUUGACAUUUCAUGUUAUUUUUGCUAGUUCUGGAGGAGGAAAGGUGGUGAGGAGGAGUGAAACCUACUGUCAAUAUUUUUCCUGUGAAGGUUUGUGGCAUCUUUACCAUUAACUGCCUUCAAACACUCUUAAUUUUGAGGUAAUCUCUUCCCUGGGCAUAGUGGGCUGAGGGAACAGUGUGCCUUUAUGCCAACUUGAUUAGUUAUUAUGAAACCCAGAAACUUAGGGGAUUUUUGUACUGUGUGGGGAUUCAGACUUUCUGUUCUCUGAAGUUCCUUGCCCUGGAAUAUAUUCUAAUGUUGGACUGUCACUGCCAAAUUUUUUUGUGGAAUCUCAUCAGAGUCAGAAAGAUCCCAUUAAAAUGCAGUUGUUCAGACUUAGUUUUUGAUGUUACAGAAGGAUUCAUUACUGCCUCAGCUGAAUUCAAACCAGAAGAGGAAUUUUAGUUAUAUGUGAAAAUGAUCUUCAGUUUUACCUUAGUUCCUAUUUGUUUUUAGGACACCCCUGUGGGGAAAGAAGAAAGCUGUUUUCUCAGCCCUUGCUGUGGACUUUCAGUUUUACAGAUUCUAAACUGGUGGCAUGUGCUCCUGGUUGUUUACUGUCAGAAAGAUCCCAUUCUGAAGUAGUUCCAAAUCUCUUCUACUAUUACCUGCCAUGAAGCUCCAGUGAUAUCGUUUCAGCAGCUCAAAUGGUUGAAAAGCAAUCUGAAAAUGUGGGAUUUUAUAUUCAUCUAUUCUUUCUAAAGAAUAAAGUGGUUUUCUACUUA